rnacentral:lncRNA from 1 species
CAUUUGUGAAAGUAAUGAAAUUAAAGGUACACCAAGAUUUACGUGGAAAACCCUCCAAUGAUGAGGGAAAAACCACGGGCCGAUAUAGAAAUAAUCCACUAUGGUAAAAAGGAAAUUACAAUAUUCUCACAAAUUUCUUUUUAAAAAGAAAGGAAAAAAAGCUUGAGGUAUUACAACUUGUAAGGAAAUAAAAAUGUUCAAAUCACCAUACUAGAAAACCAAAUCCUGCAAAAACAUCUGCUGCUUAUGUCUAAGGAGAAAACAAACUUCACAUUUCUUACAUUCUACACUAAGCACCGAAACCAAAGACGGUUGAUUUUGCUUGAGCCACUACAAUUGUAAAAGCACAACAUUGACGUCCUUAAGUUCAGUUCUUCUUGGAGAGCCAUAAGCGUCAAAAUUCCUUUCAUUUUUAUGCCAUCAACUAGCAAAAACGUCAUUGUAUGGCAAAUCCAUCAAGCUUCCACCACCUACCACCUUAUAUUCAGGAAGCACCAAAAAAAAGGAAAAAAAGGUUAGCCCAACUGAAUAGAAUUUGUCUAACCCAAGCAUUGCAAAUGUGAUAAUUGCCCCAAAUGUGAAAUACCCCUCCACAGUCACAUAUACACAAACAAUGAACUAUAAAAGUGCUCAUUGAAAUUCUAAUUAAGAAGCACUUGAGCUGGUGGUAGAAAUACAAUGGCAUGAAAAUUAUGACUUACACAACAAAGAAACCUAUAAAUUCUACUCAACAAACAGAAAGGAAAACCAUCAACUAUGAUCGAGUCAAUAACAUACUGUCAUACUUUUGUUAGGAAAUUAGUUUGCCACUGCAUUAUUUUUCUCCCUCCUACAUGUAGAAAAGAAGUUUCUAUUAAUUAUAGAAGUGAAACCCCAUAUUUAGACCAAGAAAAAACAGACUUAAGCAUCUGUGGUUAGUCAAGCAUACCUAGCUGAAGGAAAGAAUGAUCUAUCUCUCAACUUCUAGAGUAGGAAUAACACAAUUCAAUAUAAAUUCAUAUUUCCAAUGAGGUCAUGUUGCUGAAUGUUGGAGAUGUAGGCAAUGCUGAUCCAAACUUUCUCCUUUCUUCUUUAAGCAAUUUUGUCUCACAACAAGAGAAUUCUGGAUUUCAAGCACUAGCUGUUGCAUUCAGCUCUUCCUUCAGCAAAAAUGACCAAAGCUUAGCACAGCUUGAGAUCAAUAGCACUUGAAGAAACUUUCAGCAAAAAUUAAGCUUACCUGAAGUUAGAGGAACAAGUAGAAUGAAUUUUUUAUCCGUAAAGGCUUGGUGCACCAGUGCCACUCAUAGAGAGGCGUCUCAAGCUUCCCACAAUUGAACCCAAACUAAACAAUGGGGCCAAACCCCCUUCCAGAAAUUAAAGAACACCUGAACAAUCAAGGAUCAACCUUGAUACUGGAUGUAAAAAUGGAAAAGAAAAAAUUAAUGAACAAAAGUAAAUUAUUUAAAAAUAAAUAAAAAAGAAAAAUGGAAAAAUGUCAAGUUGUGAUGAGUUUUGAAAUGCACUGUCUUUCUACAGGUGCAGAAAAAUUAGGGAGUUAAGAUUAUUAUUCUGAUGUUAAUGGAAUUAUGGGAGUAGCUUAAUAAUGGGCUGGUCUCUACUUCCAUUUUUGUGAUUGAAAAAUAAAAUCUAAUUUGAAAUUGAUUCAUGUGUUAAAAACCUAGCUAUUUCCUUUUACAUAGGAUCAGGGAUGUGAAAAUCUUAGGCCAAUCAUAUUUACAUGUUAAUUUAAAUAUUUGAGAAAUUAAGAAGCCAAUACCAUUCCUAUGGACUAAAACCAGCUUCAUCAAAUUGUUGGUAUAGAAAUAAGCAAAUGUGUUUGAAAGAUUGAAUGAAAAAACCAGGUCAAUUGGAACUAAACUAAGCAAGUGCAACUAGAAAUCUUCUGAAGAUCAAACUUAAGCCACAAUAAAAUUGUUGCAACCGAAUGAAUAAUUGAGAACAACGUACUAACAUGUGAAUUUCAUCUGUAUGAGAUCUUUUGGCGGAAGGGUGGCAUGCAAAAGGAAAUAUGAUUUAAUUAUGUAGAAAGAGAAAUACACUAGAAACAUUUUAGAGAACAAGGAAAUAAGAUAGAUGAGAAAAGAAGAUUCUCACAAUUUUAAAAUUUAGAUGGGAAAAUUUGAAUUGCUGAACAUACCUUGUUGAAAUUAAGGAAGGAAGAGUGAUCUAAGAUUCAAUCCAGUAAAGACAUCUCCUGGUUACAAAAUUGCAUUAAGAUAGAAAAAUGUAAAAUAAACAAAAACUCAAAAGUAAAAAUAAAAGAAUUUGGAACUAAGUUGCGAAUGGGCAUACUUCAAUUACCUAUACGUACGCUGCGGAUGUGGGCGACGUUAGACCAACAUUCUCCUCCAUCCUUUGAGAAUCUUUCUUUCAUGGUAGGACAACCAAAUAUGUCAAGUUUUGCAAGUGUUGCAGGCAGUAGCCCUAAGGACCGGAGGUUAGGGCAAUUUGAGAUAUCUAGGGAUCGAAGAGAGAUGAGUUUGUCGAGAUCCAAGGAUUCUAGGGAUUCUAGGGAUUCCAUUCCUUUGAUUGUAAGGGAGGUGAGAGAAAUGGGAAGAAGACACUCUUCAUCGGAGACGGAAACCAUAUUUGGAAAUAUGUUCCUAAUAGUCAAUUCAGAAAGAGAGGUGAGGGUGUCGAGGCCCCACUCAGAUAUGGGCGUUUUCAGAUUCUUACAGUUAUCGAUCUCAAGUGAUGUUAGGUUAGGGGCCAAACCCUCUUCCGGAAAGGACUCCAAUCCUGGGCAUUGGGAUAUGGUCAGGCUGCGCAGAGAUUUGAGGUUUCUCAUUUGAUGUGUUAGAGAUUUAAGAUUCUCACAUCCCUCAAUUUCAAGGAAUUCGAGGUUAGGGAUGGACAAGCCUCUUUCUGGAAAGCACUCCAGACCUCCACAAUCGUUUAUGUCGAGCUUCCGAAGGCUGUCAAGGCAUCCUUUUAGGCUUUUCAGAUUUGGAUACCCCUCAAGUCGUAAAUACUCUAGGGCUGUACUGUUGGGUGACAUUUUCUCUGACACUGACUCCAAGUUUGUGCAUCCAACAAUAAUAAGGCGCUUGAGAGUGGAGGGUAACUCCCCUGUUGGAAAGGAAUUGAGAGAGGAACAAUUCUCUAUCGUCAAUUCUUCAAGACAACAAGUGUUGCUGCUGGAGGUGGAAUUGUGGUGCAUCAGCCCCUCUGGUAGAGACUCAAGACUUUGACAAUCCCAAAUAUAAAGCUUCUUGAGUGUGGUGGGUAGCUCACCAUUUGGGAAGCAUUUGAGAAAUGGAGAACACUGAAUCGCCAAGACUUCAAGCGGACACGUGUUGUAGUUAUGAGGCAGCGAUUUUAGACCCCUACAAUAGAACAACUCAAGGCGUCUUAGCACUGGUGGGAAACCCGAAUCAGGAAAUGACUCUAGUUUGGGGCAACUCCGUAUCUCCAGCUCUUCAAGACGUGUGAGAGUUUGCAAUCCAUUCGACAGCUUCUCCAGAUUAGCACAAUCACGUAUUUCCAAUUUUUUAAGAUUGCAAGGCAGCCAUUGCUCCUCCCACAAACAUGUCAGCCCAUCACAAUCCUUUAUCACCAAUUCUUGCAAGGCUACCAAGGAUCUAGUAAAUCCGGUCCUCAAACAUGUCAAUCUUGAAAUCUGGAUGAGAUUUACAGUAACGAGGGAUGGAAGAUCAAAUUGAGCACCUCUCAACACUACCUCAUCACAUUCUGUGAAAUUUAAUUCACGGAGAGAUGCAAGUUUUGGAAGCCCACACAUCAAUCCCGGACAUUUUAACACUACAAGCUCUACUAGGGACUGCAGGCAUUUCGGCAAUUCCCCAAUCAGUUUUGGACAUUUCCUCAUAAAAAACUUUUCAAGAUGGGGAAAUGUUCCCACAUCUUCCUUGAUGAAAUUAGAAUGAGACCAAUUUUCCCAUUCUGGCAUAUCCUCAAACCUCAACACCUUCAAAGAUGCAAAAGGAUUCAUACUCUCUCCAUAAAAUUCAGCACCUAUGCUUUUAACUUGGCUCAUACCUUCGAUACACAAAACUUUGAGCACCGAUAGUCCACCCAGAUUUGGUAAUAACAUGCAUUUUUUGCAAUCUCUGAGAGUUAGUUCCACCAUUACUGAGAAUGAGGGAUCUCCUAACCAACUUGGAAAUUUGGAUCCACCAUAAAAUGCAAUUGUGAGCCUUCUUAAAUUUUCACGAGGCUGCAGGGACUCCAAGACACGUGAUUCACGUUUAUCGUUUCGUGCAUCCCAACAAUCAUCACUCCACUCCAUGGUCAACUCUUCAAUUUUUUUUUUAUCUUUUAAAUUAGCAGCUCUUGCCUCUCCAACAUCCACUACCUCUUGCAACCCAGAAAUAGAAAGCACUCCUUGGAGGUUCGAACAAUUCUUGAGUUCUUCAAUUCCAACCCCUCUACUUUUGCUCACAAUGAACCUAGUCAACACUUGCAAAUUUGUGAGGUUGCUUAAUUGGAAAGGCAUUUCUUCUAGUCGACUUGUACCCGUAAUAUCAAGGUGCCGAAGGUUUUUCAGGUUUCCAAUCCCUAUAGGCAAUUCGGUAAGUGCAUAACAACGACGUAAUAUCAACGUUUGUAAAUUAUAAAGAUGACCCACUGAAUUAGGUAGACUUCGUAUCCUAGAGUAGGAAAAAUUGAGAUAACGCAGAUGUAUUAACUCACCAAUCGAACUUGGUACUUCACCCAUGCCACAACCAACCAAAGAUAGUACCCGCAAGUAUCUCAUUGGCAUUAUUAGGUUAUGUAACACCUGGUUAGAUAUAUUUCCGAACAAAGUACGUGAAUAUUGAGGCACUGCUAUUAACGUGCGUAGAUUCUUCGCUUUGUCAAAGGCUUCCAAUUUUCCAACAACCUCAAAUUCUUGCCGAGUGAAACAUGAAUGACGAGCUCUUGUAGAAAUAGCAUGUUGGUCAUUGUUUCCAAAUUGAAACAUACGUCUCCAGCAACCAAUUGAGCAAGAUCAUGAAUAAGAUCAUGCAUCACAAAUUGUGAUGAAUGAUGAUUUGAUUGUUGGAAAAAAGACCUUGCUAAUAAUUCAUGAAAGUACGCGGUGCCUAUCUCCUCCAUCUGCUUCUUUCUGUUCACCUGGUGAAGGAAUCCCUCUCCCAUCCACAGCAAGACUAAUUCAUCCACAUUGAAUUCGGAGUCCUUUGGAAAUAUAGAGCAGUAAGCGAAGCAGCGCUUCAAAUGAGAAGAAAGAUGAUGAUAACUCAAUUUGAGAGCUGGAAGAAUACUGUUAUUCUCUUCUGGUAACUCCCAUAUCUUGCUUCCGAGUAUUUCCUCCCAUGCAUCACGAUUUAGUUGUGUGCGCAACAUUCCUCCUAAGGCCUUUGCAGCCAAAGGUAGCCCCCUGCACUUUUUCACAAUUCGUUCGCCGACAGCUCUCAAGUGUGGAUGAUUAUCAAAGUUUCUGGUAUGUAUAAAUGCAUGCUGGGCAAACAAAGAUAAGCAAUCGUCAUUUGAUAACCCCUCGAGGGGAUAAUCUGAGCUGGCUCUGACGGCUGGUCCAACCCUUUGAUCACGAGUGGUGACAAUAAUCCUGCUGCCUUUUGCUCCAGUUCUCAUUGGCUUGAAUAAAAGGUUCCAUUUAUUACAAUCCCAACUCCAAACGUCGUCUAAAACAAGAAGAAACUUUUUUCCAGAGAGUUUAUCAUUCAGUUUGACUUGAAGCUGGUUGAGAUCGUUGACAUCGUUGACAUCGGACAUAUCAGUAGCAACAGACUGAAGAAUUGUCCUGGUUACCCCCACGACAUCAAACUCAUCAGAGACACAAACCCAAGCUCUUAGAUCAAAAUGACUCUUCACUUUAUAAUGGUUGUAGGCAAACUGAGCAAGAGUAGUUUUGCCCACGCCUGCCAUGCCAGUUAUGGCAAUGACACGGACUGAAUCGUCACUUGGCCCAUGAUAAUGGAGCAAGGAGUCGACUAUGGCUGCUUUCUCUGUUUCCCUUCCAUAAACAAUAGGUUCAUCCACCAAAGAAGUGGUGGGUAGUAUUUCUCUUGGUUUGGCGGACCUUUUCCCAGAAUUUUUUUCUGUUGAAAGGAGAUUAUUUUUCCGUGAAGAAAUAUGUUCCAACCUGGCAGUGAUAUUCUCUAUCUUGGACCUCAUCUCAUCAUUGAACUUAAUAGCACUUGGAGUGAAACUAGUACGACAAGAAGGGAUAAGACUCUUACUAGUGCUGGGUUGAGUUUCCGCCAUCAACUGCUGCCCCAAAGCUUGAGUGGCCAAGUCGUCCAGGAUGUCCUCCACAUCAUAAGCCAAGUCUCUGAGGUCGUCGAGCCAUUUCUUCACCGCUUGCUUUUCCAUCUGCUUCUCCUCCGCAUCCUCCAGCACGGCAUGAAUUUCCUUUAGGGUGUUCUCCCACUUGUUGAGCUCAGCACGAACUUGCACUGGGCGAGCAAAAUCGAGCAGGUCAGAGGACAACAACCUCUGAAACAGAGUUUCAAAGAAAGAAGACAGAAGAGCCUCUCCAACAAAAGCCAUGGAAGCAAGUACGAGAAAUCAAAGGCAGAGAAACGACUCAGAAUCAGAACAGCACAAGUAGAAAGCCAGACAAGGUUGGUUAUAGAGCAAUUAUAGAUUAAAAUGUCAUUCCUGUUUGACCACACCCAUAUUCAUUACUUUGUACGGUUGAGAUCCUCCAAUCAAAUUGUGAUUAUAAUUACAUACAUGAUGUUAGCACACUGUAUUAAGAUACCCUUUUAUUAAUCUAAUGAUUCGUAACAACUCCUGCAAUUGCUCUUUUAUUAAUACUCAUCACAUUAAUUAAAAAUUCAUCUAAAAUGUAAGGAAUCUCCAACAAAUUUCUUGAUGUGUGUGUGCAUAUUUUUAUAUUACAAGUGGGUUUCCUACUCUAUAUUUUAUUAUUAAUCUUAACAGUUGCCCUUUGUCCCCAUCUAAUUUGGAUCAAUAAUAUUGUCGGCCAACAUCAGUUUGUAAACACAAAAAACAUACGAAUUAAUCUUAGCCGCUGCCCUUUGUGUAGGGAAUUAAACCAAAUUCCCAACCCGUGAGAAACAAAAAUUAGAGAAAACACACGCCAAAGAAAAACAAUCACACGCACAAGACAGUAUUUACGUGGUUCGGCAAUUUGCCUACGUCCACGGAGUUGCAGGGAUAUCACUAUUAUCAGGGAAGAAUACAGAGUACGACCUAGCGGCUACAAUAUUCUCUAUAUAUAUAUAUAGCACGGCAACCCUACCAUACUAAAAAACCCUAAUUACAAAAGGUGGUUCCACAAUGGGUUAAACGGGCCCAACAGGCCUCAAUAAAUCUCCCAUUAAAAAGUCAUGCAAUAUUAUUCGGGUCGGGUCGUCAAAUCUGAUCAAACAAAACUAGGCUCCACAAAGCCCAACAAAUCUCCCACUUGGAGACUAGUCCAAUCACCAACAUCAAACCGCUAUCCUCCAAGAAACAAUCCCUCAUCCCUACAACUCAUCCUCCUGUCCUCAAGCUAGAAGACCAAUUGAAGCUGUACACAGCUUCAACUUCUCAAUAGUGACACCCUUAGUCAACAUGUCUGCCGGGUUCUUAGAUCCACAAAUCUUCUCAAGUAUUACUAGUUUAUCUUCAACAAGAUAACGGAUAAAGUGGUAUUUUGUUUGUAUAUGCUUCGACUUUGAAUGAAAAGCCGAAUUUUUGGCAAGAAAAAUUGCACUCUGGCUGUCACUGUGUAGAAUGCCCAUCUCCUGCUUCUUACCCAAUUCAUCUAAGAAACCAUGUAGCCAAAUCAUCUCCUUUCCAGCUUCAGUUGCUGCAACAUACUCAGCUUCUGUAGUAGACAGAGUAACAAUCUUCUGUAGAUUUGAAGUCCAUGAUAUAACUGUACCACCUAGAGUAAAAACAAACCCAGUAGUACUCUUUCUACUAUCAAUAUCACCAGCAAAAUCAGCAUCUACAUAACCCUGCAGUUUCAAACUUGCACCUGUGAAGCAAAGACAUGUAUCUAAUGAACCCUUCAGAUAUCUUAAAAUCCACUUGACUGCCUCCCAAUGCUGCUUUCCAGGCCUACUCAUGAAUCUGCUCACAACUCCCACUGCAUGUGCAAUGUCUGGCCUUGUACACACCAUAGCAUACAUCAAGCUGCCAAUAGCUGAGGCAUAGGGCACCUUGCUCAUAUGGUCCCUUUCUUCUUCUGUCUUCGGUGACUGUUCUUUGCUUAGUUUGAAAUGACUACCCAAGGGUGUGCUCACUGGUUUAGCUUCAUUCAUGUUGAACCUGCUGAGAACUUUCUUCACAUACUCUGACUGUGAAAGUUUCAAUGUACCAUUAGCCUUGUCUCUAAUGAUUCUCAUACCAAGGAUUUGCUUUGCAGCUCCCAAAUCCUUCAUUGCAAACUGUUUGGACAAUUGCUUCUUCAGAUUAUUAAUCUUCUCAAUGUCAGACCCUGCAAUAAGCAUAUCAUCCACAUACAACAGUAAUAUGAUGUAAGAAUUGUCAAAGGACUUAACAUAGCAACAAUGAUCAGCUUCACAUCUCUUGAACCCAAUUCUAUGCAUAAAAUUGUCAAACUUCUUGUACCACUGUCUAGGAGCUUGUUUAAGGCCAUACAAGCUCUUUCUCAGUUUGCAGACUAGAUUCUCUUGUCCCUGAACAAUGAACCCUUCUGGCUGAAUCAUGUAAAGGUCUUCCUCCAAGUCACCAUGAAGGAAUGCUGUCUUCACAUCUAACUGCUCAAGAUGUAAGUUUUCUACAGCCACCAUUCCAAGUACAAGUCUAAUUGUUGACAUCUUCACAACUGGAGAAAAUAUCUCUGUGUAGUCAAUGCCCUCCUUCUGUUGGAACCCUUUAACCACUAAUCUGGCCUUGUAACGUUUGCUACCAUCAUGCUCAUUCUUUAUUCUGUAUACCCACUUGUUGUGCAAAGCCUUCUUUCCUACUGGCAAUUCAGUCAGUUCCCAUGUCUGAUUCCCCAGCAGGGAAUCCAUCUCAUCCUUCAUGGCUAACUCCCACUUGCUUGAAUUCUCAUCUUGCAAGGCUUCAUUAUAACACUCUGGCUCACCACCAUCAGUCAACAGGAGAUAAUUUAAAACAGGUGAAUAACGUUGUGGAGGUCUAAUGUUCCUGGAAGAUCUGCGAACUUCAACUACAGGUGUCCUCAAAUCUACCUUUGAAUUUACAUUCUCCUUAUCUUCUUCACCCCCUUUUUGGACAGUACUUUCAGUCAAUUCAUCUAAGUUGACAAACUCAGAUUUCUUUUGAUCUAUCUCUGUAACAUUUGACGUUACAGUUAACCUGUCCUUGUACAUAACCUGUUCAUUAAAUAUCACAUUUCUACUUCUGAUAAUUUUCCUGUUUUGUUCAUCCCAAAACCUAUAGCCAAAUUUCUCAUCACCAUAGCCAAUGAAAAAACAUAUUUUUGACUUUGCAUCAAGUUUACUACGAGCAUCAGAAUCAAUAUGAACAUAAGAAACACAACCAAAAACUUUUAAAUGUGAAAACUUCACCUCUUUACCGCUCCAAACCUCCUCAGGAAGUCUGAACUCCAUGGGAACUGAUGGUCCUCGGUUUAUCAGGUAAGCAGCAGUGCUAACAGCAUCAGCCCAAAAAGUUUUUGGUAGUCCAGCAUGCAACCUCAUACUUCUAGCACGCUCAUUGAGAGUUCUGUUCAUGCGCUCAGCCACACCAUUCUGCUGUGGUGUCCCAGGAAUGGUCUUCUCCAUCCUAAUUCCCUGUGCAGCACAAUACUCACUGAAUCCUCCAUCUAUGUACUCUCCUCCAUUAUCUGACCUCAAACAUUUUACUUUCAAACCUGUUUCUGUCUCAACCAUGGCCUUCCACUUCUUAAAAGUUACAAAUACAUCAGAUUUAUUUUUCAGAAAAUAAACCCAUACCUUUCUACUUGAGUCAUCAAUAAAGGUGAUGUAGUACCUUGAACCUCCUAGGGAUGCAACCGGAGAAGACCCCCACAAAUCGGUGUGUACUAGUUCCAAUUUUUCAGCCUUCGGUGUCCUGCCAGUUUUCAAGAAGCUCACCUUUUUUUGUUUUCCUAAGAUGCAACUUUCACACAUGUCAAAAUCAAUGGACUUCAAUUCUGGUAGUUUUCCUUUUGACAGCAACAUCUUCAUCCUUUUCUCNNNNNNNNNNNNNNNNNNNNNNNNNNNNNNNNNNNNNNNNNNNNNNNNNNNNNNNNNNNNNNNNNNNNNNNNNNNNNNNNNNNNNNNNNNNNNNNNNNNNNNNNNNNNNNNNNNNNNNNNNNNNNNNNNNNNNNNNNNNNNNNNNNNNNNNNNNNNNNNNNNNNNNNNNNNNNNNNNNNNNNNNNNNNNNNNNNNNNNNNNNNNNNNNNNNNNNNNNNNNNNNNNNNNNNNNNNNNNNNNNNNNNNNNNNNNNNNNNNNNNNNNNNNNNNNNNNNNNNNNNNNNNNNNNNNNNNNNNNNNNNNNNNNNNNNNNNNNNNNNNNNNNNNNNNNNNNNNNNNNNNNNNNNNNNNNNNNNNNNNNNNNNNNNNNNNNNNNNNNNNNNNNNNNNNNNNNNNNNNNNNNNNNNNNNNNNNNNNNNNNNNNNNNGCCCAUUCCUCAGCCUUCAUACUCUCAGGUUUUGUCCCCAAAAGAGGCAGAUGCAAUUUCCUCCCAUAGAGAUAAUCUUCAAUCUGCAUCCUCUAAUACGCAAAGUCUGUGCCAUCAAACUUUUCUAUUCCAGACGCCUUUCCUGCUUCCUCUGCCAUUGCUCCCACUCAAACCUAACCCUAGGCUCUGAUACCAGUUGUAGGGAAUUAAACCAAAUUCCCAACCCGUGAGAAACAAAAAUUAGAGAAAACACACGCCAAAGAAAAACAAUCACACGCACAAGACAGUAUUUACGUGGUUCGGCAAUUUGCCUACGUCCACGGAGUUGCAGGGAUAUCACUAUUAUCAGGGAAGAAUACAGAGUACGACCUAGCGGCUACAAUAUUCUCUAUAUAUAUAUAUAGCACGGCAACCCUACCAUACUAAAAAACCCUAAUUACAAAAGGUGGUUCCACAAUGGGUUAAACGGGCCCAACAGGCCUCAAUAAAUCUCCCAUUAAAAAGUCAUGCAAUAUUAUUCGGGUCGGGUCGUCAAAUCUGAUCAAACAAAACUAGGCUCCACAAAGCCCAACACUUUGUCCCCAUCUAAUUUGGAUCAAGAAUAUUGUCGGCCAAUAUCAGUUUUUAAACACCAAAAAAAUAGGAAUUAAUCUUAGCAGCUGCCCUUUGUCCCCAUCUAAUUUGGAUCAAGAAUAUUGUCGGCCAACAUCAGUUUUUAAACACCAAAAAAAUAGGAAUUAAUCUUAGCAGCUGCCCUUUGUCCCCAUCUAAUUUGGAUCAAGAAUAUUGUCGGCCAACAUCAGUUUGUAAACACAAAAAACAUACGAAUUAAUCUUAGCAGCUGCCCUUUGUCCCCAUCUAAUUUGGAUCAAUAAUAUUGUCGGCCAACAUCAGUUUUUAAACACCAAAAACAUACGAAUUAACUUAGGCCUGUUUUAUAACUAUUUUCAAAAAUAUUUUUUUCAUUUUUUAAAAAACCAAAACAAAAAAACACAAACUAUCUGUUUUAUAUUCUUAAAAAUAGAAAAACGGAUUGUUUUCUAUUGUUUUUAUUUGCUUUUUGAGGAUUCUUUUUAAAAAAUAAUUCUACAAAUAUGCGUAAUAAUUAAAAAUAAAACAUUAAAUAUAAAAAUUAUUUUUAAAAUAUACUUAAAAAUAUUAAAAAUAUGAUGAAAAUAUUUUAUAUUUUUAAACAUAUUUUUAUUUUAUAAAACAUAAAAAACAAUUUUUAAAAACUAUUCUAAAAAACGAUUUUCUACGUUAUCAAAUAAAAUCUUAAUGCCUCUUUCCAACUUAGAAAAGAUUUGAAACUCAUUUUAAUUUUAAAUUUAUUAAUUUUUACUUAAUUAAACUAACUUGUUAACUCCUAGGAAAAACAAAUUUUAAUUUUGAUUUUGAAUCUCACGUUGAUUUUGAUUAGUUUUAUGGGGUUCACCAAUUUGUGGGAACGUGAGGCAUUUAAUAAAAUACUCUCCAACUUGUUGGUAUCAGCAUGGAGUUGUUGGGAAUGGUGAGGGCCACACAGGGUGUAAAAGAAGAAUUUGCGUGUAAAAGAUGAAUUUGCAUUAUUGGUAGUGGAUGCACAUGCGGGGUUUAAAUAAGAGAAAAGAAACCAAAAUGGUUUUUGUAAUACAAAUUGUACAAAUAUCCAUGUUAUUAUUUAAUAACACUGCUUGAAAUUAGUCAGACGUCAUCAAACAUGUAGGCUAUGUUUGAGAGAAAAACAUGAGGGGGAAAAAUACGUAGAAAAAUAAAAAAUAGAUUAAAAGAUAAUAAAUUAUUUUUAUAUGUUUUUUUAAACUAGUUUAACUUAUUUUUGUUAAUUGGUGUGACAUAUGUAAUGAAAAAAAAUUAUGAGAUUUUUCAGGAUUAUGAUGUUUUAUGCAUAUGCCGUAGCCACUCUCUCAUCUUGUUCCAAUUUUCAACAUAGUGGAUUUCUUUCUCUAGUCAUAGUUUUUCCCAUCUAAGGUUUUCUACAUAAAUUUGUGUGUUUUUAUUCUAUUUUUUUUUUCAUAUUGUCUAUUUUGGUUUUUUUUGUGGUAGAAUUAAUAUUAGAUAAUUUCAAAUUACAUAAAUUUCUAACCAAUUUUAAUUAUAUACAUAUAUAUAUUCAUAUUUUUCGUAGUGAAACUAAACAUAAAAAAAUUAUUUUUUUAAAUAUUUUUUUUUCUUAAUACUUUUUGAGAACCAAACAUAAUCGUAAUAUUAUUUAAGUGCUUUUUUAAUACACUCAUUAUAUAUUGAUUUGUGAAAAUUGAAUUUCACACCUCAUCAAUCACUCCCAUUUUUCUUAAAUUUAUUACAUAAAAUAAAAAAAACCCAAAAUAUAUAAUCUAUCCCAUUUAGGUAGUAAAAUGUUCCCAUUGAUGCUUGGACACUUGAAAAUGGUUUGCUACACCUUUUUUAAAUUAAUCAUUAUAAGUGAUUUUGUUUACGUAUUUUAAUUACAAAACUUGUUUGAACUACAAUAUUGUACAAAGUAAAUGUGGAAAAAAAAGCCUUAAAAAAUAUAUUUAGUGACUUCACCAAAAGAAAAAGAAAAAAAUGUUUUUAAAAAAAAGAUGUUUUCAUGUUUUGUUUUAUUAUAUAAAAUAUAAAAGAAAAUCAAACAAAAUUAAAAUUAGUCAAAAAUUCAUAUAUUUUUAAAUUAUUUGAUAUUUAUAUAUGAGAGUUAAAACAAGUUAAAUGAAUUGAAGUAUGUUUUUUAUUUUUCUUUUCUUAUAGUUUUCCUUUCUAUUUUUUCUUCCAUUCUUCUUCAAAUUUUCUGAAGCCAAACAUAACCUAAAAGUUUGUAUAACACCAGGAGCUAACAUAAGAGGUGGAAUUGACCAAUUCAAAAUUAUUUUGGCAUGAUUAAUAGAACUCUUGUCCAUUUGGGGAAGUUUCUUCCUCUAUAGAAUUCGCCUAUAAACUUUGUCAGAUUUCUACGAGCUCAUAGCAAUUCAAGCACAUUCAUAUCAUUCCCUUCAUUUUGCAAAUAAUCAAAAUCACUUUUUCAUUCCACCAUUAACUCUUCAAUGUUCUCCUUUCUCUUUAAAUUAAUAUCCAUCGUAUCUCUAAUAUUUUCUAUAACUUCGAAAAAAAUAGGUAUCCUCAAAGCAACUAUGAGCUUUUUCAGAUUUCUACCUAUGAGGUCGUAGUAACUCAAGCACAUUCAUAUCGCUCCCUUCAUUUUGCGAAUCAUCAAAAUCACUUUGUCAAUUCAUCAUUAACUCUUCAAUGUUCUCCUUUCUCUUUAAAUUAGUAUCCAUUAAUAAGAUCUCCUCCACAUUAUUAAAAUAUCUAGGCUCCAUUUCCUGCAUGAUACUCUAAGGAGGCUAGGGACUCCAUCAUCCGGAUUCCAAGAGAGGUGAGAGAUGUAAGAAGAAGACACUCAUCAUUUGAAAGGAAACCAUUUCUGAGAGUACUUCUCAAAUACACAAUGACAAAAUAAGCUUUGGACUUAUGUGUUAAUAAAAAAGUAUUUUAUUUCAUUUUUUUAUACAUCAUUUUCAAUAGAAAAUAAUUCUCAUUUUCAUAAUCAAACAGGCUCUAGACUUUCUAACUUUUUUUCUCACUAGCCUAAGUAACUUAAGCAACACUGAAAAGACAACUAUAUUUUGGGUUAAGCUUCCAAUUGUGUUGAUUUUUGGAGUUGAAGUUCUAGCUGCACCUAGACAUGUACGUUUAUGGUUUCAUUUUAAGUUGUGUCAUUAGCCCCUCAUCCUCUAAGACAAAAAAAGUUUAUGACACAAGAAAUGGACAUUUGUGAAAGUAAUGAAAUUAAAGGUCCACCAAGAUUUAUGUGGAAAACCCUCCGAUAAUGAGAGAAAAACCACGGGCCAGUCUAGAAAUAAUCCACUAUGGUAAAAAGGAUAUUACAAUAUUCUCACAAUUUCUUUUUAAAAAGAAAGGAAAAAAAAAAAAACUCAGGUAUUACAACUUUUAAAAAAAUAAAAAUGUUUGAGUCACUAUACUAGAGAACCAAAUCCUGCAAAAACAUCUGUUGCUAAUGUCUAAGGAGAAAACAAGCUUCACAUUUCUUACAUUCUACACUAAGCACCAAUAUGAGAGACGGUUGAUUUUGCUUGAGCCACUACAAAUGUAAAAGCACAACAUUGACAUCGUUAAGUUGAGUUCUUCUUGGAGAGCCAUAAGUGUGAAAAUUCCUUUCAUUUUUAUGCCAUCAACUAGCAGAAAAGUCAUUAUAUGGCAAAUCCAUCAAGCUUCCACCACCUACCACCUUAUAUUCAGGAAGCACCAAAAAAAAAAGGAAAAAAUGGUUAGCCCAACUUAAUAGAAUUUGUCUAACCCAAGCAUUGCAAAUGUGAUAAUUGCCCCUAAUGUGAAAUACCCCUCAAUACUUACAUAUAUACAAACAAUGAACCAUAAAAGUGCUCAUUGAAAUUCUAAUUAAGAAGCACUUGAGCUAGUGGUAGAAAUACAAUGGCAUGAAAAUUAUGACUUACACAACAAAGAAACCUAUGAAUUCUACUCAACCAACAAAAGGGAAAACCAUCAACUAUGAUUGAGUCAAUAACAUACCGUCAUACUUUUUUUAGGAACUUAGUCUGCCACUGCAUUAUUUUUCUCCCUCCUACAUGUAGAAAAGAAGUUUCUAUUAAUUAUGGAAGUGAAACCCCAUAUUUAGACCAAGAAAAAACAGACUUUAGCAUCUGUGGUUAGUCAAGCAUACUUGGCUGAAGGAAAGAAUGAUCUAUCUCUCAACUUCUAGAGUAGGAAUAACACAAUUCAAUAUAAAUUCAUAUUUCCAAUGAGGUCAUGUUGCUGAAUGUUGGAGAUGUAGGCAAUGCUGAUCCAAGCUUUCUCCUUUCUCCUUUAAGCAAUUUUGUCUCACAACAGGAGAAUUCUGGAUUUCAAGCACUAACUGUUGCAUUCAGCUCUUCCUUCAGCAAAAAGGACUAAAGCUUAGGACAACUUGAGAUCAAUAGCACUUGAAGAAACUUUCAGCAAAAAUUAAGGUUACCUGAAGUUAGAGGAACAAGUAGAAUGAAUUUUUUAUCUGUAAAAGCCUCGUGCACCAGUGCCACUCAUAGAGAGGCGUCUCAAGCUUCCCACAAUUGAACCCAAACUAAACAAUGGGGCCAAAACCCCUUCCAGAAAUUAAAGAACACCUGAACAAUCAAGGAUCAACCUUGAUACUGGAUGUAAAAAUGGAAAAGAAAAAAAUUAAUGAACAAGAGUAAAAUAUUUAAAAAUAAAUAAAAAAAGAAAAAUGGAAAAAUGUCGAGUUGUGAUAAGUUUUGAAAUGCAUUGUGUCUUUCUACAUGUGCAGAAAAAUUAGGGAGUUAAGAUUAUUAUUCUGAUGUUAAUGGAAUUAUGGGAGUAGCUUAAUAAUGGGCUGGUCUCUGCUUCCAUUUUUGUGAUUGAAAAAUAAAAUCCAAUUUGAAAUGGAUUCAUGUGUUAAAAACCUAACUAUUUCCCUCUACAUAGGGAUGUGAAAAUCUUAGGCCAAUCAUAUUUACAUGUUAAUUUAAAUAUUUGAGAAAUUAAGAAGCCAAUACCAUUCCUAUGGACUAAAACCAACUUCAUCAAAUUGUUGGAAUAGAAAUAAGCAAAUGUGUUUGAAAGAUUGAAUGAAAAAAUCAGGUCAGUUGGAACUAAACUAAGCAAGUGCAACUAGAAAUCUUCUUAAGAUCAAACUUAAGCCACAAUAAAAUUGUUGCAACUGAAUGAAUAAUUGAGAACAACAUACUAGCAUGUGAAUUUCAUCUGUAUGAGAUUUUUUGGCGUAAGGGUGGCAUGCAAAAGGAAAUAUGAUUUAAUUAUAUAGAAAGAAAAAUACGCUAGAAACAUUUUAGAGAACAAGGAAAUAAGAUAGAUGAGAAAAGAAAAUUCUCACAAUUUUAAAAUUUAGAUGAGAAAAUUUGAAUUGCUGAACAUACCUAGUUGAAAUUAAGGAAGGGAAAGUGAUCUAUGAUUCAAUCCAGCAUCCGAUAUCGACAGUUACCUCCUGGUUACAAAAUUGCAUUAAGAUAGAAAAAUGUAAAAUAAACAAAAACUCAAAAGUAAAAAUAAAAGAAUUUGGAACUAAGUUGCGAAUGGGCAUACUUCAACUACCUCUAGAUAUGCGGGGGAUGUGGGCGACGUUGGACCAAUAUUCUCCUCCCUCCUUUAAGUACCUUUCUUCUAUGGUAGGACAAUAGUUGAUGACAAGUUUUGUAAGUGUUGCAGGAAGCGGCCCUAAGGACCGGAGGUUAGGGCAAUAUGAGAUUCCUAGGGAUCGAAGAGAGAUGAGUUUGUGGAGAUCCAAGGAGGCUAGGGAUCCCAUUCGUCUGAUUCGUAGGCUGAUGAGAGAAAUGGGAAGAAGACACUCUUCAUCGGGGAAGGAAACCAUAUUUGGAAACAUGUUCCAAAUAGUCAAUUGAGAAAGAGAGGUGAGGGUGUUGAAGCCCCACUCAGAUAUGGGUGUUUUCAGAUUCAUACAGUCACCGAUCAAAAGUGAUUUUAGGUUAGAGGCCAAACCCUCUUCCGGAAAGGACUCCAAUCCUGGGCAUUCGGAUAUGGUCAGGCUGCGCAGAGAUUUGAGGUUUCUCAUCUGAUGUGUUAGAGAUUUAAGAUUCUCACAUCUGUCAAUUUGAAGGUAUUCGAGGUUAGGGAUGGACAAGCCUCUUUCUGGAAAGCACUCCAGACCUCCAUAAUCGUUUAUGCUUAGCUCCCGAAGGCUGUCAAGGAAUCCUUGUAGACUUUUCAGAUUUGGAUACUUCUCAAGUCGUAAAUGCACUAGUGCUGUACUGUUGGGUGACAUUUUCUCUGACACUGACUCCAAGUUUGUGCAUCCCGAAAUGGAAAGGUUCUUGAGAGUGGAAGGCAACUCCCCUGUUGGAAAGGAAUUGAGAAAGGAAAAAUUCUCUAUCCACAAAUAUUCAAGACAACAAGUGUUGCUGCUGGAGGUGGAAUUGUGGUGCAUCACCCCCUCUGGUAGUGACUCUAGACUUUGACAAUCCCCAAUAUGAAGCUUCUUGAGUGUGGUGGGUAGCUCACCAUUUGGGAAGCAUUUGAGAAAUGGAGAAUACCGAAUCGACAAGUCUUCAAGCGGACACGAGUUGUAGUUAUGAGGCAGCGAUUUUAGACCCCCACAAUAGAACAACUCAAGGCGUCUUAGCAUUGGUGGGAAACCCGAAUCAGGAAAUGACUCUAGUUUGGGGCAUCUCCAUAUCAUCAGCUCUUCAAGACGUGUGAGGGUUUGCAAUCCAUUCGACAGCUUUUCCAGAUUAGCACACCCUUCUAUUCUCAAUUUUUUAAGAUUGCAAGGCAGCCAUUGCUCCUCCCACAAACAUGUCAGCCCAUCACAAUUGCAUAUCUUCAAUUCUUGCAAGGCUACCAAGGAUCUAGUAAUUCCGGUCCUCAAACAUGUCAAUCUUGAAAUCUCGAUGAGAUUUACAGUAACGAGGGAUGGAAGAUCAAACUGAGCACCUCCCAAUACUGCCUCAUCACAUUCUUUUAAAUUUAAUUCACGGAGAGAGAGAUGCAAGUUUUGGAAGCCCACACAUCAAUCCCGGACAUUCUGACACUUCAAGCUCUACUAGGGACUGCAGGCAUUUCGGUAAUUCCCCAAUCAGUUUUGGACAUUCCCUUAUCAAAAACUUUUCAAGAUGGGGAAAUGUUCCCACAUCUUCCUUGAUGAAAUUAGAAUGAGACCAAUUUUCCCAUUCUGGCAUAUCCUCAAACCUCAACUCCUUCAAAGAUGCAAAAGGAUUCAUACUCUCUCCAUAAAAUUCAGCACCUAUGCUUUUAACUUGGCUCAUACCUUCAAUACACAAAACCUUGAGCACCGAUAGUCCACCCAGAUUUGGUAAUAACACGGAUUUUUUGCAAUUUUUGAGAGUUAGUUCCACCAUUACUGAGAAUGAGGGAUAUCCUAACCAACUUGGAAAUUUGGAUCCACCAUAAAAUGCAAUUGUGAGCCUUCUUAAAUUUUCACGAGGCUGCAGGGACUCCAAGACACGUAAUUCACGUUUAUCGUUUCGUGCAUCCCAACAACAAUAACGACUCCACUCCAUGGUCAACAAGACACGCAAUUUUUACUUAAGAAAACUAACUUGUUAAGUCUUAGGAAAAUCAAAUUUUAAUUUUGAUUUUGAACCUCACGUUGAUUUUGAUUAGUUUUAUGGGGCUCACCAAUUUGUGGGAAUGUGAGGCAUUUAAUAAAAUACUCUCCAACUUGUUGGUAUCAGCAUGGAGUUGUUGGGAGUGGUGAGGGCCCAGACAGGGUGUAAAAGAUGAAUUUGCGUGUAAAAGAUGAAUUUGCAUUGUUGUUAGUGGACGUAUAUGUGGUGUUUAAAAUAAGAGAAAAGAAACGAAAAUGGUUUUUGUAAUACAAAUUGUACACUAGAAUAUCCAUGUUAUUAUUUAAUAACAUUGCUUGAAAUUUUUCAUAAGUCAUCAUAUAGUGGAUUUCCUUCUCCUCUCUGCUCAUGAUUUUUUCUAUUUAAGGUUUUUCACAUAAAUUUAUAUCUUUUUAUUCUAUUUUUUUUUCAUAUUGCCUAUUUUUGUUUUUCCAUGGUAGUAUUAAUAUUAAAUAAUUUCAAACUAUAUAAAUUUCAAACUAAUUUUAAUUAUAUUUUAUUUUCUUUCAUAUUUUUCAUAGUAAAACUAAACAUAAGAAAACUAUUUUUCUUAGUAUUUUUUCCUUAAUACUUUCUAGGAACCAAACAUAAUAAUAACCUUAUUUAAGUGCUUUUCUAUUUCACAACUAAUUGACACUGACUUUUGGGUGUAAAUGUCGUCUAGUCCAUCGCUCAAGCAUCAGGUGUGAUUAAUCAUUUGUUCAAUGCCCGAAAACUUCGAUUGGGUUGAUUUGUUUGUCUAAAAGUCCUAGUCAGCUUGGUCUGUUCAUUCCAUCUGGCAUUGUAGAAGAAGGAAAUCUUCUCACCUCUUACACCAGACGGAGCUUAUCUUGGCCCAAAUAAAGUGAUCCUAGACAGAUUAUCUACUUACCUUGGCCGACCAAAGGGUCUUAAGUUUGGGGAGGCCACGUGGAGGCAAGCGCUCCCUACAAUGCCCUCUAAUUUGUUUGCUAUGCUCGAUCGGGUAGCUGACUGGUUGAGGUAGGACGAAUUAUCUGUUUUUUCAAGUUUUUGGGCACCAAGGAAUGCGUGUCAUUUAGGGUUUUAAUAAUGUGUCACAUCAAUCAAGGCUAGUUGUUCAACGGUGUGUCUCUUUAUUUGGCUUUGGAAAGCAUUGCCAGGCGACAUGUCCCUUGGAGUGCCUAGGUUUUUUGUUCCCUAUAAAUAGUAAAGCUCCACACUUUUGGGUCACCUUUUCACUUUCUCCCGUUUCAGAGUUCUCUUGCCUGUGCUGCUCUUUCCCUGCCAUUGGUCUUGCCACCAGCUAUUCUUUUUUGCUUUCAUCACCGUUGUCAACUGGUUUGCCACCGUAGGAACUCUUAUUCGCUAGAGAGCGUCUUCAGUUUUGGUUUUGGUAAGUUUUCUACCGUCUGUUCGUUCCUUUGUUGUGUUUGCAAUUGUUCCUUGGGUUGUAUUAUUCUUGUUUGUUUAGAGAGAAAAUGGACAUACCGAUGUCCAGAUUCUAGAUUUUUCUUUUUGUGUUUUCUUGAUCGUUCUUGUUGCUUAUUUGGGGGAGGAAACAGGUGUACCGAUAUCCAAAUCUAAGGUUUUUCAGUGUCCCCGCUUGCUUCUAUGUCGUCAUUGUGUUUAUGUCAUCGGUUCAUGCUUUUUUGUUGUCAUCACGUUGGGGCGAUGGGCAUGACUCUUCCUUUAUCAUUGGCCAAGAGACUUGCUUUGCAAGUUUCGAUAGCCAAAUUCGUCUAGGUUCGGACUAUGGUCUGUCUAGGCACAUUUUUGUAUUGUUGAAGCAACGCUGAAAGGCGGAUUGGCCAACGCAGGUUUCUAUAUGACCCAAAUCCACUUAGUCUAAUGGAAUAAGGGGAAGUUGUUUCUACCAGCGGAAGGCCUCAACAAAGUGGACAGAAAAAUACUAGAGUCGGGCACCUUAGACCGAACCGUCCAGUUGCUGUCUUAUCCAAGCAAAAAUUUCAAGCUCGUUUUCACAUUAUGGACACUAUCUUAAUUCAGUUAACUAAUGGUGAGGCUCUAUUCUCUGCUAACCUUCCGAACUACAUGAUGUAUUUCACCAAGGAGUGGUUUGCUAAUGGGCUUUGUUUACCCAUUCCUUCCUUCUUCAAACAAUACCUUCAUUUCACGCAAAUCCUCCCAACUUUUCUUCAUCCGAAUAUUGUCCGAUUAUUGAUAGGGUGUAGCGUGUUGGAUAUGCUCUUCCAAUUGGAUCUUUCCCUAUUGGAAGUCUCGUUCAUCUAUACUCUGAAAAUGAGCCAAAAUGAAAGGUUCAGCUUAUCCGCCCAUAUUUCUUCCCUCCAACUAGUGAUUGGUAUUCCAAAUUCAUGUAAAGGCUAGGUCAAGGAGCAUGUUUUGGUGUCUGAGCCUUAGAGUGGUUCAUAUGAUGGUCCAGACAGAGUUUUUUCUCCACAACGUUCGUUGAAGAUUCCGAGUAAGCUAUGCUUUUGUCACUUUCUUUAUACCUUGCUAUUAUUUCCUCUUUUUUGUGAAUCUACUCACGAUCUUUCUGUUCGUCUAAUGCAGGUAAGGAGAGGCAGGAACACAUUGUAAAGUGGGUGGAAAAGGCUUCAUUUGCCCAUCUAAACAAGUUGUUCGAAAUAGACGUUGUUGAAUGGGCUUACAAAGUUCUCGUCUUGGACAAAAACCUUUUGGCACUGAUUGGCAGUCCUAAGUCGUUUAUCAUUCUUAUGUUUCCCUGGCUAACCCCUUCGUCUCUGGUGCUUGGUGAACACUUCGUGCUAAAGGAUUUGCCUUUCUACGAAGUUGCUCGUUUGGCAGAUUCUGAGGCACGCUAGGCUCGUUAAGAGGAACGGGAGAAAAAACGCCAAGAAGGGACAUUGAGGCAAGUGCCAGUUGCUAGACGUUCGUUUUCCAACUCCGUUGUCCGUCCACCUGCUUAGAAAAAGAAAAAGACUAUGGCUCGUCCUAUUCAAAAGGCGAGGACUCCACCUCCUGUCUCCCCAUAUUCAUCGUCAGCUUCAUCUUCUUCUUCCUCUAUGUCUUCUUCAUCUUCUAGAAACAAACCAGAAGCAGGGGUUAUGCAACCUAUGCCUCCUAUUAUUUGUGAAGAAGAGGAAGAGAAGGAGGACAUGGCUUCCAACUUGAGGACCAGAUUCCACAAGAGGCACCGUAAGCGUCUGUCCGAAUCCAUUACUGUCAUUCCUUCUCUUUCGAAGAAAGCCUGCCUGGAACCUACCCUAAAUCCUCCGUCCAAGUCAACAUUGUUGACCACUACUGUAGUUGUCACUUCAAAAUCGAAUAAGAAAUCUCCCUUUGUUGAAUGCUGAAUAUGGAGUAUUAUAUUGUUGUCCCAAUGCAUCACCACCAGUCACCAUUUGAACUCCAGGGGUUGCAUGGAUGAAUGCUGGAUUUCCUGGCCCCCCUUGCCAUGAUGCCGGAUUAACUGAAAUGAAACCAAUCACAAAAUUUGAAUGAUCCUCAGCAAUUUUUGCUGCUGCAGUUGUGUAGUCUCCCUUGGCAAGGUUACCAGAAGAACUCAUUUCUGCAACAAGCAACAGGCCCCUACCACGAGGCAAACCCUACAAACAUUGCAAGAGUAAUAAGAAAUUAGAGAAACAAUAGUUCUAAGGCUUUUCUACAAGUCCAGACUAAUAUUAGGUUAAACUAUUAAUGCAAACCUUCAGUUUCAGACCAUCCACAAUUCCAGGACCAGAGAUUAUGUGAGCAUUAACUAUAUCUGCCCAGUCCAAUAUCCGAAAGAUACCUCUGCAAAUAGUAGUGCCAAGAGCUGUUAAGAAAAUGUAAGAAAAGCAACAGAAAAAGAAAUUAAGACAUACCAGAUGCAAGAAAAGUGAGACUCACCCUUCAUACUGCAUGGUCACUGUGUUACCAAUGUCAGCAAACUUACGAUCUUCAAAGAUUAAGAAGUUAUAUCUCUCUGCAAUCUUCAAAAGGAUUAAACAUAGAAUCAACAAUAACUUAACAAUAACUACAAUAAGACUACCCAAUAAGCUAAUGACAAAACUCAAAACUUUGGAACUGCUAUUGCAUAAGGAACAUUGAUGCCUGACAAUUCAAAGACAAGGAAAGCAAAUAGAGAAUAUCUAUGCUUACAGGCCUAUUCUUUCUAUCAGAGCCUUUUUUUUUUUUUGGUUUUGUUUUAGGUAAAUCUUUGUCCCUACUAGGACUUGAACCUAGCACCUCCCACAAACCCUCCCCAUCCCUUUACCACUUGGGCCAGGCCUCAAGGGCUUCUUUUUAUCAAAGCUUAUAAGCCUAAUUUAAUUCCAAAAGAGAUGAUACAAUAAAAAUAAUGAAAAUUUCCCCUAAAUAAUGCUAUAUGGCCUAUGGGAAACAGAGAAAGAAAGCUUUUCCAUGUUAACCAUUUUAACAAUAUAUGAAAACAAAGAAGAUUUCCAAAUGCUACAUCCCAUUAACUAAAAAGAUAAAUCAUUUCUCUCUCUAUUUGCUACUUUAUACAUGUCAAGCUACAUGGCUUCCAUAAGAAGACAUGAAAAUGGAUAUUAUUUAGCAAAUUUAUUAUGGUAAAGAAAGAUUGAGUUUAAUUGAGAACAAUAUGAGUUAAGAGGUAAACUGGUAAAGAGAGGUCUAUAGUGAUCUUAUGUUUUCAGAACCUAUCAUCCAAACUGAAUGUGGAAGCUAUAACUUUUAACAUAUUUUCAGGUUGAGAGUGGGAAAAUGUCAAGGAGGCAAUGGUGGACUGUGGAAAGUGAUCAAGAGAUGAGGUUCGCAAUUGUGCAUCGUUUCGGUAUCUUGUUUUAUGAUGAUGUUCUGAGAUAUAAUUCAUAAGGGUACUAUAAAGCACUUUCAGACUUUUCAGAAAACUGAACCUUCUCCAUUUUUAUGAUUAUAGGGCAGGAAGAAAAGUUUUCAGGGUGAAUUAUUGCAUUGACAUUUUUUUUAAUUAGUUGCCAUUAUAUAAAUGGGUCACCCACCUCAACCCCAUUUCUUGUGCCCUUAAUCUAUUUGAUUAAUCACUGACAAAAAAAAUUUCAUUGCCACCAAAUUUAUGUGCAUGUGCGUGUGCAUGUUAGGAAUAUAUAUAGAUCACCAAUCCAAUAAAAGAAUAUACAUACAUACACACAUACAUGUAUAUAUAUAUAUAUUCAGGGCAGGUCUCCUGUACCAUUGAAUUUCAAUGAUGCCAUAAUGUAGCCCAUCAUUCAAAAUGGGGCCAUUAAAGAAAUGUGAGGCAUCAACAGCAUUGCUGGUAUAGGAUUGAUUAGUAGGAUUCCACAAAAUGGCGUCAAUUCAAACCUUUACCAUCAUUAGUGAUAUUUGGACCCCCUUUAAAAUGGGGGGCAAUUUAGUUCUUCAAGUUUUAUGCGAAGCGCAAUAGAACAGUCCAAUGCAAUGUGGAAAAAUUUUGCUCACUACAUGCAGUAGAUAAUCUGUGCAUGCUACAACUAUCCAUAAUGCAAAGAAACAGAGUGCUCAUCUUGUACAAGGCAAACUCAUUCCAAACAGUAAAAUAUUCAAAAAGAGAAAACAAUAAAAACCUGGUCAAAGGAAACUUAAAGUAUAUCCAUACCGAUCGAAGUUUGGAACCAAAAUCGGGGGUGAAAUCCGGGAAUAUGUCUACAUGGGUUUUCAAUAAGCAGAUCUCUGGCCCAACCUGCAAGAAUAUCCAAGGCAGCAUCAGCAACAACAGGUAACUUUUAGCCUAGUAGAUUCUACAUUUCUUUUCAAAUAUUCUCCUCACCAAAAUGCUGUACUAUGUUGUGAACUAAACAUUACAAUUUUAACUUGAAAAUUUUAUUUGAGGAUUUUCUCCUAUUUCACAAUAUUAACUUGAAGAUAACAACAUGAGCCACAAAAAAUGGAAACUCAAUCUUCUAAUUUCAAUGUCAAUGCCACAGCAGGUGUUCCGCCAAUCUUAAAUUCACAUUUUCAGGAAGAUCCAACUGAAAUCAACAUGUCAUAGGCUUGAACAUCAAAAGCCAAGGGCAGGCUGAAACGAUAUUUUGGACAAGAAAUUCACGUCCAAUGUAGGCUCGAAUACCAAAAUCUGGGCCAAGCCGAAAAACUGGUUGGGCCUAAAACUUUAUGGCCAACCAGGCUGAGCCCAAAAAUAGUUCAGGCAUCUUUUGGGCACUCUGAUCAAACACAGCUCAAAAGCAAGUGGGACCAAUCUGGGGAGAGUGGCUCCAGAGCAGAUGCUUAUACUAUGAUCAGAGCAUGUCACGGCCCCAGUAGAAUUAACAUUUCCCCCUACUACACAUCUCAAAACCUAAGGGAAUGAUAAAAUACCCAAUACCUUGCCUAAAGAUAUUCUUAUAUUCAAAUACCUAAGCCACGUGAAAAGGUGAAAAAUAUAAAUUAAUUUCUCAUUUUCUCUGUUUGGUUGCUGAGAAAAUACAAUAAAAGAACAGGAAAGACUCAUCUCUUAAUGAUUUGGGACCUCAAAGCACUCCAAUCUUCUAUCACCUAAGCUUGAUUCAACUUCAGAUUUUUUCACUUCAAGCCAAACAAAUAAUGCUUGUUUGAAGAUUUUACCAAGAAACCAAAAAACAUUAAAAAAAAUUAAAAAAGAACAAAAUUUUGUGUAGCCGAACUUGACGGCAGAAAUUUCAUGGAGCUUCAGGAUGAGAGACUCCAUUGAUGAUGAUGCUGCCGAGCUUGUCAUCCCUUCACCCUCUUCAAUCGCCUGUGAGGAGAAGAAAGACUCAUGUUUGGUGUAGCCUUUAAAGCACCGAGGGCAUCCAAAUUUUGUGAAUAUUUUAUAUAUCUAUCAAAAAUUAAAUUAUUAUUUUAUCUGAAAAAAAAAUUAUUCCAAAAUUUCUAAAAUAAAUAUUUAAAUUAUUUUAUUUUUUAUCAAGAAAUAUUAUAAAAUAUAAAAAUAUUUUCUGUUCUUCAUAUUUAACUUUGGUUUGUCUCUUUUUAGUUAAUUAAUUUUUUAGCUUAAUUGUUAAAAAUUAAAAAAAAUUUCAAAUCUUCUCCAUGGAAGAUAAGAAAUUUAUUUAUUUAUAUUAAUCAAUUUAAUUUAAAUCAUCAUUAAUAUUUUAAUAAUUAAAUAUUAUAUAAUUUAAUCUUUUUAUUUUUAUAAGUAAAGUUACGUAUCAAAAAUUUAAAUAAGUCUAUAACUUAGAUAGAUUGGUCAAAUUGAUGGAUAACUCGAGUCUAACUCGAAUUACAAAACAAUUAAUUCAAAUCCAACUUAACCCAACCUAAUCGCUAUCUCAAGGUAUUCAAUGUAAGCCCACCUCAAUUUUAUUUUUCUAAAUUUGGAUUGAAUUCGGAUUUGUUAAAUUAAACCCGAGUCAGUUGGAUUGAUUGGAUUACAUGUUUCAAAAUCUACUUAUAGUGAUUUUUAAAAAACAUUUAUAUAUAUAUAUAUAUAUAAAUUUAGAUAUUAAAUAAGACAAAAUUUUUAAAUAACAAUAAAAAAAAUAAAUUAAAUUAACUUGUAUAUCUUUCUAAAAAAUUGAAAAAGUAUAUGAAUAUAAUUAUAACUUGAUAUCUUUAAAAUUUAAAGAUAAUAGGCAUUAUAAAUAUAAUAAAAAAAAAUAAAUUGGAUUAAGUUCAGGUUAUUUGAAUCUUGACUUGAGCCUAACCUAAAUUGAAAUUGGGUUGAAAAAACUUAACCCGAGUUUAACCUUGAUAUUUGUCUAAACUCACUUAAACAUUGAGUUGGACCAUAUCAACCCACCCAAAUUCCACCUAAGGUGAAUUUAUCACAUCAAUUUAACUUAAUCACUUUUAAGUUUGUAUUAAAGUUUAGUGGUUUGAGAAGUAUUUUAUAAAAAAUGAUAUCUAUUAAAUAGUAUUUGAAAAUCACUUUUAAGCCAUUUUCAAGAUUUUAAAAAGCAUUCCAAGUCUUUCCGAACCACUCCUCAAUUUUUCUACUAUAGAGUGUGGGUUCAAAGUGACUUUUAUGGCUAUCAAAAUAUCCUAUGAAAAUCAUGUUUUAAAUAAAUAUUCAAAAUAAUAACAAAUUUAUUAGAAAUUAUAUUUUGAAACUUCGAAUUUAACACAAUGGAUUAAUUGCUUUGUUUGGAAAUUGUAAUUUAAAAUUAGAACUUUAAUAUAAAAAUAGUGUUUUAAAAAUAAUAUUUAAAAAUUUUUAUUUUUAAUUUGAAUUUUUUAAUUAUGAUUUAAAAUUAAUUAAAAAAAAUGUUACUUGCAUUUUUAGGGUAUUCGCUAACAAAGUCUAUCCACUUUCAAGGGUAAGGCUUUCUAGUGGCCACUUCAAUGGAGGAUUGCAUUUUCUUUUGAGAUUUACUCAUAUUCAACAUUUCAUACAUUUUUCUUUAAAUAUUCUAUAUAAAAUGGAAAACUCUAUAAAUUUUAGUUUAAAAUUUAAUAAUUUUUAAAAAUAGUUUAAAACAAAUUAAAGUAUUAAAAAAAUUUAUUACCUAAAUCUUAAAAAAAAAUUAAAUAUAAUUUUUAAAGUCAUAAGGUGAGUUACAAUAAGAGCUAUUUUAUAUUAUAUUGAAGUUAUUAUUAUUUUUAUUUUAAAAAUAAAAAAUAGGAAAUAUAUUGGUUUUUUAUUAUAUUUUUGAGGAUAAGUGUGUUUAUUUAAUUUUUCAAAAAGAGAAAAAUGAAAACCGAAGUUAAGGGAAAUGUCAUUAGGAAAAUUGUGUUUCAUUCACUUAGAAAAAAAGAUUAAAAUUUUUAUAAAAAUAAUUCAAGUUUUAUGUACUCAUCGGUCAAAUGUAAUAUUUAAGAUGAUCAAAUGUAGUAAUUAUUUCUUUAAAAUAUUGUAUCUAGUUAAAAGUAAUAGCUUUGAUCGAAAAAUGUACAAAAUCUUAAUUAUUUUUACACACAUGUAUGAAUUUUGAAUUUUAUAAAGUUAAGUUCUUAAUUAUGAUUUUUCUAAAAUAAGUGUGACUUUGAUGAUGAUGGCUUUUGACCAUGUAGUUGACACUAUGUGCAAAGCAAAUAAUUCAAUAUACAUGGAAUUUUCUCACAAGGUCAUGUUGUUGAAUGUCAAAGAUGUAGGCAAUGCUGAGACAGAAUUCCUCAUUUCUCCUUAAAAACACCUCUGUCUUAGGAUUUCAACCAUUGGGUGUUGAAUGUCACCCAGGUAUGUGGUGAAGAAACUUACACAUUCGCUAUAUUUAUGAGAAGACAUCAUAAUGGUCAAUUCUUACAUAGAAUUGGGGCGUUUCCAGGUUGUGACACCUUCCAACAACAAGUGAUGUUAGGUUGGGGGGCAAAUCCCCAUAUCCUUAGCCCUUUAAGAGAUUUGAGGCUUCUCAUUUGGAAUGGCAGGGAUUUCAGAUUCUCACAACUGUUAAUUUGAAGUUGUGGGAGGUUGGUUCUCAUAUCCUUGGGUUUGAUACACCUCAUUUCUAAAUUAACAUAUAAAUAAAAUAUAUAUUUUUUAAUUUUUCUUUCCAAACAAGAAAAAAGAAAAGAAAACCUAUUUUACAUCUUGACUAAUCUAACCUCAAAUUAAUUUCAUGACAUUACACCUUUUUUAAGUUAAUCAUUAUAAGUGAUUUCGUUUACAUAUUUUAAUUACAAAAUUUGUUUGAAGUACAAUAUUGUACAAAGUAAAUGUGGAAAAAAAAAGCCUUAAAAAACAUAUUAAGUGACUUCUGUCCAAAGAAAAAGAAAAAAUAUUAAAAAAAAAAGAAAGAAGAUGUUUUCAUGCCUUAUUUUAUUAUAUAACAUAUGAAAGAAAUCAAAUAAAAUUAAAAUUAGUUAAGAAUUUAUAUAUUUUUAAAUUAUUUAAUCUUUAUAUAUAAAAAUUAAAAUAAGUUAAAUGAGUUGAAGUAGCGUUUUUAUUUUUAUUUUAUUUUAUUUUAAAUGAGUUGAAGUCAAACAAAGCCUAAAAGUUUAAGAAUACCAAGAGCUAACAUGAGAGGUGGAAUUGACUAAUUCAAAAUUAUUUUGGCUUGAUCGAUAGAACCCUUGUUUAUUUGGGGAAGUUUCUUCCUCUAUAGAAUUUUGCAAAUCAAGCACAUUCAUAUCAGUCCCUUCAUUUUGCAUAUCUUCAAAAUCACUUUGUCAUUCCAUCAUUAACUCUUCAAUGUUCUCCUUUCUCUUUAAAUUAGCAUCCAUCAAUCAGAUAUCGUCUACUUUAUUAAAAUAUUUAGGCUCCAUUUCUUGCAUGACGUUCCAAGGAGGCUAGGGACUCCAUCAUCCGGAUUCCAAGAGAGGUGAGAGAUGUAAGAAGAAGACACUCAUCAUUUGAAAGGAAACCAUUUAUGAGAGAACAUCUCGAAUACGCAAUGACGAAAUAAGCUUGGGACUUACGUGUUAACACAAAAAACAUUUUAUAUCAUUUUUUUAUACAUUAUUUUCUCUCACUAGCAUAAGUAACUUAAGAAGCACUAAAAAGACAGCUAUAUUUUGGGUUAAGCUUCCAAUUGUGUUGAUUGCUGGAGUUGAAGUUCUGGUUGCACUUAGACAUGUACGUUUAUGGUUUCAUUUUAAGUUGUGUCAUCACCCCUUCAUCCUCUAAGACAGAAAAGUUUGACACAAGAAAUGGACAUUUGUGAAAGUAAUGAAAUUAAAGGUACACCAAGAUUUACGUGGAAAACCCUCCAAUGAUGAGGGAAAAACCACGGGCCGAUAUAGAAAUAAUCCACUAUGGUAAAAAGGAAAUUACAAUAUUCUCACAAAUUUCUUUUUAAAAAGAAAGGAAAAAAAACUUGAGGUAUUACAACUUUUAAGGAAAUAAAAAUGUUCAAAUCACCAUACUAGAAAACCAAAUCCUACAAAAACAUCUGCUACUAAUGUUUAAGGAGAAAACAAACUUCACAUUUCUUACAUUCUACACUAAGCACCGAAACCAAAGACGGUUGAUUUUUCUUGAGCCACUACAAAUGUAAAAGCACAAC